rnacentral:rRNA from 1 species
UACGUAGGUGGCAAGCGUUUGUCCGGAAUUAUUGGGCGUAAGCGCGCGCAGGCGGCCUCUUAAGUCUGAUGUGAAAGCCCCCGGCUCAACCGGGGAGGGCCAUUGGAAACUGGGAGGCUUGAGUAUAGGAGAGAAGAGUGGAAUUCCACGUGUAGCGGUGAAAUGCGUAGAGAUGUGGAGGAACACCAGUGGCGAAGGCGACUCUUUGGCCUAUAACUGACGCUGAGGCGCGAAAGCGUGGGGAGCAAACAGG